GACAGGUUUUCACCAUAUUGGCCAGGAUAGUCUCCAUCUCCUAACCUCGUGAUCCACCUGCCUCAGCCUCCCAAAGUGCUGGGAUUACAGGUGAGAGCCACCACGCCUGGCAAAACCUGGCUAAUUUUUAAAAAUUAAAAACAAAUCCCAGCACUUUGGGAGGCCAAGGUGGGAGGAUCACUUGAGAUCAGGAGUUCGAGACCAGCUGGGCCAACAUGGUGAAACCCCGUAUCUACUAAAAAUACAAAAAUUGGCCAGGCGUGGUGGCCCGUGCCUGUAGUCCCAGCUACUGUGGAGGCUGAGGCACAAGAAUCGCUUGAACCCAGGAGACAGAGGUUGCAGUGAGCCGAGAUUGCACCACUGCACUCCAGCCUGGGCAACAGAGUGAGACCCUAUCUCAAAAUAAAUUAUUUUUCCAGUCCCUCCUCUUAGACAAGAUGAACUCCUUUCAUUGCCAGCAUAUUCUUUUUUGGAGAGAAAACAAAAUUAUAAGGAUAUAUCAUAUUCAGGAAUUGAGCCAAGAAGGCCUCCAUAAUGGAUCUGAGGAGCAGUUUGUUAUUUGGUCUUCUGUUCCUUAGUCGUAACAUGGGUCAUCCAUUUGGACAGGAGAGUGCUGCUGGUCUUAACUAGAUGUGACUGGAUAGACUUCAUGAGGAGUAUUCCUAUGAGAAUAAAAAGAAAAAUUAUCACUAUAUCUUGGAAAAGCAGUGCAUCCCCAGGACUGUAUCCCUGUUGGGAAUAUUCAAGGGAAAAGGUCAUAUUCUCAGCCACCCAAUGAUAACCCAGAGGUCCCAGAGAUCAGGACUAGGUGGCAAUUCAUCAAAAAGACAUCAGAAAGGUGUUGGGGGAUAUAUGUACAGCAGUCGUCAUUGACAACUGCACAAGUGCAUCCAUCUCCUAGAUCUGCCCGGAUGAUGGCUAAUGCCAGUUGAUGAUGGACAACAGCCUCUGGAGUUCUUGCAUUUCUUGAGUGAUUGUGUUAAUAUUUUUCGUGACAUCACUGGUGACUUGGUUGGCUUCAUGAAUGAGAGCAUGGAAAACUCAGGAAUUGGGUUGAGCUUCUUCAGUAACCCACAGAGCUGGAUUGCCAGAAAAGCCUGCAACCUGAGACCUGUCCCUGUUGGGGGCGAACACAUCUAAAACCAUUCCAAGUCUUUUAGCUUCUUCAGACAGUUCCUGUUGUUUUCCUGGAGAGAAUGGCUGUUUUGCAGAGGGAUGUUCUCACUCCUGACAAUGGAUUGUUCUGUCUAGGAGUGAGAGUUUUACUCUACUUCUGAAAAGGUGAAUCGAAUGCUUGUGACUGCAGUUUUCCCAAGGUUUCAUAGAAGUGGUCUGGAGGCUCUUCAAGGAGAACUACAAACCACUGCUGAAGGAAAUAAGAGAGGACACAAACAAAUGGAAAAACAUUCCAUGCUCAUGGAUAGGAAGAAUCAAUAUCGUGAAAAUGGCCUUACUGCCCAAAGUAAUUUAUAGAUUCAAUGCUAUCCUCAUCAAGCUACCACUGACUUUCUUCACAGAAUUGGAAAAAAACUACUUUCAACUUCAUAUGGAAUCAAAACAGAGCCCGCAUUAGCCAAGACAAUCCUGGGCAAGAAGAACAAAGCUGGAGGCAUCACGCUACCUGACUUGAAACUUUACUACAAGGCUACAGUAACCAAAACAGCAUGCUACUGGUACCAGAACAGAGAUAUAGACCAAUGGAACAGAACGGAGGCCUCAGAAAUACUACCACACAUCUACCACCUCUGAUCUUUGACAAACCUGACACACACAAGCAAUGGGGAAAACAUUCCCUGUUUAAUAAAUUAUGUUGGGAAAACUGGCUAGCCAUAUGCAGAAAACUGAAACUGGACCCCU
ensembl:lncRNA novel transcript, antisense to FAM156A